UCAUCUCCUCUCCCUCUUUCUCUCUAUCUCUCCUCUUUCUCUCUCUAGGUCUGCGAAUUUGGGGAUCAAUAGCACGGCGGCGGUGGCGCCGUUCAGGGCGUGCUUCGGCUUGGAAUCGAUCGCGAGGACGGCGGCGGAGCCGGCGGUGCUUGAGAUUGAGCAGGUUUUUUGGGAGGGGGGGGGAGGGAAGGAUGCUGCGACGUGGAGGAUGAGCCGGCGGUGCUUGAGAUUGAGCAGGUAUUCGUGGACGGCGGUUCGAGCCCGAGGACGACGGUGGUGAUCGGAGCGCAUCAGUUGGAGGAGAAAACGCCGCCGCCGCCUUUGCUGCAGAUCUCGCGCUGGACGGUGUCGAACUCGACUGCGAAGAUGGCCGCAGAUCUGCAACGUUGUCCCUCGCUCCGCCUCUUCCGACAACGAAUUGCCGUCGCAUUGCCUCCUCCAGCUGCAACGACAGAUCUGCUCGCCAGCCACAGAUCUGCUCGAUUUCUNNNNNNNNNNNNNNNNNNNNNNNNNNNNNNNNNNNNNNNNNNNNNNNNNNNNNNNNNNNNNNNNNNNNNNNNNNNNNNNNNNNNNNNNNNNNNNNNNNNNNNNNNNNNNNNNNNNNNNNNNNNNNNNNNNNNNNNNNNNNNNNNNNNNNNNNNNNNNNNNNNNNNNNNNNNNNNNNNNNNNNNNNNNNNNNNNNNNNNNNNNNNNNNNNNNNNNNNNNNNNNNNNNNNNNNNNNNNNNNNNNNNNNNNNNNNNNNNNNNNNNNNNNNNNNCCACGGCGGAGCUAUCGAGCCCGCCGCCUCCCUUGCGAGGGGGGAGCGGUCUCGGCGGCGAAGCGUCGGAUGUAGACGAAGAAGAAGCCGAGGAAGAACAUGGCGGUGAGAAGGACCAGGAUUGCUACGGCCAUAGAGGAGUCGAAGGCCGGAGUCGGUUCCACUGGAGGUCUUCUGGCGGCGACGGUGUUAUUGCCGCCGGCGGUGAGUGGGGAUCUCCAGAUGCUUGUUUAAAGUUUGAUGAUUUUGACUAGCUUCGUAAUUUUAGAUGAUUAUUGUGUAGGGUUUUUGAGCAUGAGUUAGAUGCUUAUUUGUGUAUAGUACAAAAUAAGGUUUGAUAAGUUGUCAUAUUGAAACCUCUGAGUUUUGAUGUUCGUAGUAUUUCAUAGUUUUAUGCGUGUAUUGAAUUUCUGGUGAAAUUGGCUCAAUCUGUUGUGAAUAUCUUUGUCUUGAGAAGUUGACAUGGAUAAUUUAGUCGAACUCAAUUUGAAGUUUUUAGGUUCUUAUGAGAAUUUUUAUCUUUGAUCUUAAUGUGUGGUUUUUAUUUUGAUUGUGAAACUGAAACAUUUUGAUUAAUGUUCUUGAAUUCACGACCAAAUUUAUGAAUUCACAACUAAAUUAAAUUCACAAUCAGAUUUAUGAAUUCACAACUUAAUGUCUUUAAAUUCACAACCAGCUCGAUGAAUUCACAACUUAAUAUUCUUGAAUUCACAACCAGCUCGAUGAAUUCACAACUUAAUAUUCUUGAAUUCACAACCGGAUCUAUUAAUUCACAACUAAAACUCGAAUUCACAAUCAAAAUAAAUUCUAGUUUUCGUUGUGAAUUCGACUGAUUUUGAAUUCACAAUCAAAAAAUUCUUAUUGUGAAUUAAAUUUAGGUUGUGAAUUCACAACCAAAAAAAUCUGGUUGUGAAUUAAAUUUUGAUUGUGAAUUCGACUGGUUGUGAAUUCACAAACAAAAAAUUCUGGUUGUGAAUUCGAUUGGUUGUGAAUUGCGGGAUUUUUUAAAGGGGUGAUGUAAAGUGGACAUUUUUUUAAUUUUUAAUGUGAAGGGUAUUUUGGUAACAGUGGACAUUUUUUAAGUUUUUAUUUUAGUGGACAUUUUUUAUCUUUACAAUAUGAAAGUGGCCAUUUUAAAAAUCCACUCAUAAAUUUAUCCAUAAAGUAAACACACCCGUAGAGUACUAUCCUUUAGUAAUUUUUCGAAAGCUAAGAAAUUAUCAACUCUAUCAUUCUUUUCAAUUUGAAAAGAUUGAUGCGGAGGUUAAAUCUGUCUUAGUAUUUUUUUUCAUUAUUUAAUUUAUAAUUUCUUUCCAAUACAAAAAUAUAUUGUUCUACACAUGUAGACAUAAACCAUGGAAUAAAUAAUAUUAUUUUAUUAUUCCUAGCACAAAAUUCAUAAAAUUCUUCUUGAAUAUAAUAAUUUUCUUUUGAAUUAAAAUUUUCAAAAAACCAUUUUUUAAAUGGUUCACAUUUAUGUGAGUUAAAUUCUAAUUUUAUUAUCUGUCUUUGCCUGUGAACCUGGACUAAAAUAACUUUUUGUUUCUAAAAUCAUUAUAUUGGGAAAUCAAUUUUUGACUCGAUUAUAUCCGUUUCUUUAGUGUUAAAAACAUUGUUCUUUUAUUCCUUUUAAAAUAUUAUUUUUAUCUAUUACUAUUAUUUUAUAAAAUUUGUCUUCAUCUAAGUCUUGCAGGAUAGGUUUUUCUCUUAUUUGAGAUUUAGAGGCUCUAGAUGGCGUAAAAGGAGAUUCUAUCAUUCUAAUAAUAGUGUAGUCAAAUAGGAGUAUAAUUUUUGGGAUUACAUUGAUGCUUUUGAUAAGGUUCUUUCAUAUGAUAACAACAAAAGAAAUCAUUCCUGAUUUAUAAAAAAAUGUUGCGAACAACAACAAUAAUAAUAAUAGAAGAGUAGUGUGAAUAGGAUGUUUUAGUUCAAAGCUUCCACAUAAUGUAAGCAAUCAUUUAAAGGAGAAAUCAAAAUAUUAUUAUACUAUUUACACGUAUUCUCAAAAAUAUUUUAAUAAUUAAACUAUUAGCAUGUUGUGAUAUUUGUUUUGACCCAUAUCAUUUUAAAAAUUAAAAAUAAAAAUUAUAUAGUAGCAUCCAACGAGCCACAUCAAGAUUUUAGGAGCCGAAAAAUAGAUGCAAGAUUAGAGAUGGCAAUGGAUCGUGGACCCGGUCCAGAUCCGCAGAUCCAUAUCCAUUUUUUAGGAUCUGGACCUUAAAAAAAUGGACUCAAUGGAUCUGGACCGGUUCUGGGUUAUUCCUAUAAUUUCCGGAUCUGGAUCUGGAGCAAAAAAUAUGAGACCCAGAUCCGGUCCAGAUCCGGUCCAUGGAUCCAUUUAUAUAUAAAAUAUAUAUAAUGUUAUUUAUUUUUAUCUAACUCUAAUCUAAUAUCUAUGACUAAUCUAUAUAUCUCUUUUCAUAAAUAAUAUAUAAUGCAAUUAAAGAUAAUAUUUUACUUUAUUUAAUUAAAUUUAGUUUCAUUAUUAUUAUUAUUAUUAUUAUUAUUAUUAUUAUUAUUAUUAUUAUUAUUAUUAUUAUUUGUAUUGAUAACAUUAAUUUUCUUUUUCUUAUGUAAAAUAGAGGACACAUUGUUCCACUGUUAUUUAGUACUUGAUUAUUAUAUUCUUAUUGUUAUUAAACUUCGAUAAUAUUUUUAUAGAAUAUGGUUAAUUCAUUUAUUUUGAAUAAUUGUUGAAAAUCUAGACAAUAAUUAUAAUUUUAUUUGGGAUUAAUUUAAGAUUUAUAAAUUUAAUUUAGAAGACCAAAAGUAUGGAUCCGGGUCUGGACCCGAGACCCUGUGGAUCUUAUGGAUCUGGACCUGGAUCUCAUUUUUUUGGAUCCAUUGGAUCUGGACCGGAUCUGGACCUAAGUAAAAAAAUCCGAAUCUGGAUCUGGACCAAGCAUGAUCCGGUCCAGAUCCGGCCCAUUGCCAUCCCUAUGCAAGAUAUAUUUUCGUACAAAGCUGAUAGUUUUGAGUUUAAAUAAACAUUUCAUAUAGUUUGAAACCUUUUUUAUAAACCCAGUCUAAUUUCGGGUUUAAAUAAUAUUUACCAUUUUCAUAAGGCGGUCCUGGAUGCACCCAGGCCCCAUGCUUUUGCUACCACUAAACAAAAAACAUCAUUAACGAUGGAAAUUUUCGUCAUAACUUUGAAAAUUUUCAUCGUUAAAUUAGUUCUUGACUGAUUAACCACGGAAAAUAGAUGUCUAAAUUAAUCGUGGGAAAAAAGAUUAACAACGGAAAUUUCCAUUGAGAACUUUAACAAUAGAUUGUCGACGGGAUUGGCUCGUCGUUAAUACGUGAGAUACUAGUGUCACCAAAUUUUGGUGAACAAACUAAGAUGGGAAUCCCCGUCGACAAUUUCACGACAGGAAUUUUCCGUUGAUUUUUUUUAAAUAACCGCAAUUCGUGGACAAUCCAUCGACAAAUUGAAUUUGUUUUUUCCCGUCGUAAUAUGUCGAAAAUCAUUCUGUAAAUUUAAUUUAUUUAUUUUUUGAUUGUAAUAAUCUCUUGAAUUAUAUAAAAAAAACCUAACAAUUUAAAUAUUAAUUCAAACAUAUUUAUUGUUGUGCCCAAAAAAAUCAGUUAUGACAGAAAUAACAAGAACACGAAAGAGAUGCUAGAAUGUUGAACUUUGUAUUGUUUUUUAGCGAAAGGCUUUGAAAGUCAGUGUACAAUGGUUAUCGAUUAUGCUUAUUUUAGGAUUUUACAUGUAUUUAUAGAUGAACGGUGACGUAUUCUAAUAGAAAAAGGACUCUUGCUAGAAUUAUAAUGAGACUCGGCUUCUUCAUGUUUAUCGCGUCCUUUCCAUAGCAAUCUUGGUAUUGAGCUUGAGUUGAUAUGAGUUGGGCUUAAAAUGGGCCUUCUGGAUUUGGGCUUUAUACAACGGUGUUUUUGGACUGAGCAGUGUUGUUCUAGGCUGAGCAGCCCUGUUUCUCAUGAGUCUCCCCUGCAUUCAAUUACUUUCCUCUGGUACUAUAGGGGUGCAUAUUUUUGUCAUCAUCAUUUAUCAUAAUAAAGCAUCCAAAUUCAAACUACAAAUUAUAUCAAAAUUCGUAUCACAAGUUCAAAUUAAACCAAAUAUCUAAAUCCAAUUCAUAAUGACAAAAUAAAUUCAAAAUACAAGUUGCAUCAAGGAUUAGGACCCCUGUGUGUCCUUGCCAUCAACUCCAUCAUCAUAAGCUUCAAAUCAUUGAUGGUGCCAUCUUGCUCCAAUAUCCGGUCCUCAAGGUUGUCCCCUCUAGCAUCCAAUCCAGCUUUGAGCGUCUCAACCUCCUCACAAGAAACAAUAUGUAGCCUGAGACGUGCUAGUGCACUGAGUACUAAAUCCACUAAACAUUAUCUAUGACAUCAUGCCCAUCCUGAGUAGGGGCGAGGCAGAUACGUGGGGAGGCGACAGCGAGCGGGGCAAGGAGCGGAUCAGCGCAAGGUUGGCGGCGUAUAUAGCAGGGACAAGGCCGAGGGAGGCGGACACGCGGCAGAGCAGAGGGCAGACGCGUGGCGUAGUUCGACUCCGACAGGAAAGGGGACGCGGCGUGGUAGCUUUGCGCAAUUGAUUUAUAGGCCAACUGAUUUUGGAGAAGAAGAUUUUAAAUUAAUCAAAUAUUAACGACGAGGUCUCGACGGAAAUUAAAAAAAUGCAUUUCUCGACAAGCUAACGACGGAAACUCGAAAUAUGAAAAUUAAUUAUUUUUUUAAUUUAUGAUUGACGACGGGAUCCGAAAUUUUACAUUUAAUUUAAUAAUUUAUGAUGAAACUAUAUAAAAUAAAAUUAAUAUUUUAAAAAAUUAAAAUUUCACGAUGGAUUCUUGACGGGUUAACAACGGGAUUAAGUGUAGUCGUAAAUCCGUCGAUAACACAACAAUUUUUUCGACGGUCUCUUCCCGUCGUUAAUUUCCGCUAUUAUUUAAGAGUUUUUUUUAACAUACCACUCCCUCCGUCCCUGAAAAUUGUGACAUUAUUACCAUAUUAGACGUCCCUAAAAAUUGUGAUAUUUCCUUAUUUUGAAAUAACCCGACAAACUUUAUCUCUCAUUAUUUACAAAAAAGUAUGGGAUUCAAUCUCCACUCAAAUAUAACUAUCACACUUUAUUUUAAAACUCGUGCCCUUUCCAUUGGAUCACAAUUUUUAGUCACGGACCAAUAAUUUUGAAUUGACUUUGAAGUACUUGAGAAGAAACUUCUUUGUUUGAUCUGCCUUGUAGCUGACAACGUCAGCUUGAUUCUUUCCCCGAAUAUGUAGAUUCACAAGUGCAUGACAUCCUAAUGAUAGGUUGGAAAGACUUUCAUUCUUCAGAAAAUAUUCUUCUUGACUUCCACCGUUUGUUGAAUACACCACAUGUUGAUUGUUGAGUGUGUUUCACAACUUCAGUUUGGUAGAGUUAUCUCUCUUUUGUCACAAAUUUAGGCAGAGACAAACUAAUUAAGCUAACUCAAUGGUAUCCCUAAUUGUGUAAUUAAAUAUGCAUGCAAUUGUAACCAUUAAUGAGUAGAAAUGCAAAAGCGAACAAAUAAUUCUCUUAAAAUUCCUUCUAUUUUUAUAUUUUUGUUUUUUAUAAUUGACCAAAUUAUAAAGAUGGUGUGACGUACGGUGGACUCAAACAUGAUAUAUUUGGUCUGCAUGGAUUAACCAUGCACUCUACCUCUAGAUUAACACUCAGUUAUAAGAUUGAUUAAUUUGCGAGGAAUGUGAUAAUUUGUCACAUAUACAUAUGGAAUAUUUGUGUCGCAAUAGUUGUUGUAUAUUAUAAAUGCUGUAUUUUAGAAGACACGACCAGCAAACUUCUUCUAAUUGAGGCACACUACUAACCGAAGAAAAUGUAGGUGUCAAAAAAGUUUAGAAUUUCGGCUGCUACCAAUCUUCAUUUCCAACUGCAAUAUUGUUGAGCUCUUCAAAAGUCUUUGGUCAAAUUUUUUGAUGACUUGAGUUGAGUCAAAGAUGGUGGCUUCCACAAGUCAAACUUCUAUGGGGUGUUGGGUUUGGAAAAUUAAUUAAACGGGACUUAGUCUUAAUUAUAAUAUAAAAUUCGGGUUAGGUUCAGGUGCAGGUGCAGGGAGAUCAGGGUGGGUGGUUGAAGCUCCCACUUAUUAUUAUUAUUAUUAUUAUUAUUAUUAUUAUUAUUAUUAUUAUUAUUAUUAUUAUUAUUUAGGAAGUAAUUUGAAAGAAAAAACUUAUCAAAUUGUUUUAAUAAUCAAAGUUAAUAAAAAUUCAGUUCAUAUUUUUCAAUAUAAGCGAAUUUUUAUACAAAAAUUUAUUUUCAUCAUAUGAGUUCAUAAAAUCUAUACUAAUGAAUUCAUAUUUUUUUUUUUUGUGAUUUGUUGUAUAUAUUUUCUCUCUUUGAAUUAACUUUCCAGUGCCUAGUUUGAGUUAAUUUUCUACACUGUAAAAAAAUAGAGUUCUAGCUAAGAAAAUAUCCAUCUCAAAAUCUCGCCUUUUCCAUCGCAAGCUUGGAGUUGCGAUGGAAAAGUAACCGAACGCAUGGGACGCUAAAAAUGGGAUCGCAAAAUCUCAUAACGACGGGUUUAACGAACUUGCAAUGAAAAUUUCGUCUCUGACCGACUGGUGGUCGUCGUCGUCAGAAUUUUGAGACGGAAACAGAGACGAAAAAUUCGUCGCUAGUUGCGACGGAAUGAGUUCCAUCGUUAGAUUUGUCGGUUAGCAUUUUGUGGCCAUUGGUGGCCUUUUUUGGCAACAGAAUUCUCGUCGCUAAAGUUACCAAUUUUUUUAGUUUUCUGUUAUUUACCUAUAUGUUAAUACAUUUCACAAUCGAAUAAUAAUUAAAAUGUUUUCAUAAUAUAUAGAAUCUAAAUAGUAUCUAGCAAUCAAUGACAAUCAUCAUAGUUAAAUUUCUAACAAUGUAAAUUCAAGUUAAGUUGUCAUUUAACAAUCCAAAUUAAAGUAGUUCCUAAAAAGAGGAUGGUGGAUUCCUCGUCUCAGCUAGCAUCUUCAUGAACUCGACUUGUUGUGCCUGCAACUUCACUUGCACGUCUGCACGCAUCUGAGCCUCUCUAGCCUGCACAUAUCUAUCCUGCAUCUGAUCCUCGUACUUCUUCAUCUUAUCAGCUAAUUAAACUACAUCAAAGUGAGGUUGUGAGCUAAGACUGGCUCCUCAACUGGAUCCAGAGGUGGAGGUGUAAGCACGAGAUCGUGAAAGAACAAACAAAAACUUUUAAAGGGAAAAAAUAGUACUUGUCUAAAAGGAAAUCACCAACGUGAAAGAACAAACAAAAAACACAAAGCCAAUAAGGAGAGGAAAAACUUCUGAGAGCUCCGGCCUAACCAUCGCCCCCAAGAAUCUCCGGACUCCCAACUCGCAACAACAAGCCAAACCAAAAAAUAAAAAAUGAACCACUUGUUUCCAAAGGUUAAUACCUAGCAAGAGAGCUCGUCGACGACCAAUCCAGCUCUUCGCGGAAAUGAGACCCGUAGCCCACCCGUUGAGAAUAAGAAAAGAAAACCAAGCGAGACUCCACCAACAGAGGCGAACCUCCCCAACUCCAGCCGCUAGCGUACCAACAGGCUGUAAAAAAGCCGAGGAGGCCCUCCAAACCACACCCCACGAGCAGCAGCCCAACCGACUGCCGCAAGCAAACCCGCAAAGACUCGACUUACCCCUACCAACGACGCAGCUCACCAUCGUGUAGUCCCACACCUCAGACCUCCAACCAUCCAUCUAGCUGUACAAACAACCGAUCAGCCGCACACUAGCUGUUCGAGAAAAAAGACCCCAUUAUUUAACAACUCCGGAGAUGGUUGUGCGCUGCCCUCUUCAAUAGGAUGAGGCCACCAACCUUCAGUGCGCUCCCCAUUCGCCAUAAUAUCCGCAGGUUUAUUUCCUUCUCGAAAAAUAUGAGAAACCUUAAUAUAAAAAUCAUCCAAAAAAUGAAGAACAACUUUCCAAGGGGCCAUAAAUCUCCAUGGUACGUCCCAAGAAUGAGAACUCAACAAAUUGACAACAUAGGACGAAUCCGACUCCACCCACAAGUAUAACCAACCGCGUUUGUGAGCGAUGAUGGCGGUGACAAUGGCUAAGAGUUCUGCCUCGAAAGCAAAACCCACGCCACCUUUAGUAUGAAAGCAACCCCUGACAGCAGCCCACUUGUCCCUAAAUACGCCCCCAACUGCAAUGAGACCCGGAGCUCCCGUGGCAGAACCAUCGGUGUUAACUUUUAUCCAUCUUGAAAUCGGAGGCCACCAAUGAACCUCAAUCAUGGAAGGAGGAUGCGUCUCACGACUCUUCACGCCAAGACGUCUUGUAACAUGGAAGUCCGUCCAAGAAUUCUAAAUGGAGCCCAAGCGUGUAAACGUGGCAUCAAUCUCCUAAAUCGCCAUUUUGACAAAGGCGACAACACGACGCGAGUCAAAGCUCACAUCUCCCCGUUUCCUCAUAGCUAAUAUUUAAAUUCUUGCGCAUUGCACAUUAAUUUAAGGUGAUUAUGUAAUUAUAUAGAUUAAUUCUAUAUGCUAGUUUUAAUUUAUGAAAAUUUAAAUUAAAGUCCAUGUUAUACUUUUUUUUUGAGGUAGUCUAUGCUAGGGGUGAGCAAAAACCGAGCCGACCGAAAAAACCGACCGAAAAAUGACCGAACCGAUCGGUUUUCGGUCGGUUUUUUUGUAUUGGGCGGUCGGUUCGGCCAGAUUUUUGCAGAAAUUUCGGUUUGGUCGGCCGGUUCGGUUUUUUCGAUUUUGGCCGGUCGAAAACCGAACCGACCGACCAUAAUGUACAUUACUAGGGUUUUUUUUCCCCCCACUAAUUCUCCUUCUCUUCUCCCUAUCGGCUUCUCCUCUCAUUGCGCCGCACCCCACCCCACAGCCCGCACGCCCCCCUCACCUCAGCGCCACUGCCCGGCUCCCCCCUAUUCCUAACCUUACCGGCCGGCGAACAGCAGCCCCAGCCCAGUCCGAGUCCGAGGCCGCGCCCUCGCCGCCUGGAAGAAGCCCGCAGCCGUCGAGGCAGCCUGGAACUCGCAGCCCUCGCCGCGAAGAAGCCCGCAGCCGUCGUCGCCGCGCCCAGCCCGCAGCCGUCAUCGUCCAGAACACAGGUGAGUACCGUGAGUUUCCGUAAUAAGGUUUAGUUCAGUUUCUUUUUCGUUUAGUUCUGUUUUUGUUGAAACGAUUGUUGGCUGUUAAUUAGUUCAAAUGGAAGAUUGUUGUUAGUUCAAUUUGAUUAUUUGAUAGCGAAGUUUGAAGUUUCAAAACAUAGCGAAAGAAGCCCGUGAUUGUUGGCUGUUAAUUCAGAAUGCAAUAACAAAUUUGAUAGUUUAGUUCGCUGAUUGUUGGUGUUAAUUGUUGGCAGAUUUGAUAAUGUCGCAAGUUGAUGGAUCGAGUCCGAGUGACAUGCCUCCACCCCCCACCACCAACAAGUGGUCCAAGUCCAACCGAAUCGGUUCAAACAACCUCAAAGAAAAGGAAAACCGAUAGGAAAGAGUCGGAUGUAUGGAAACAAUUCACCCGAUUUGAAGACCAUGAGGGAAACAAGAAAGCAAAGUGCAUGAAGGAGAUGAUGUGGCCAAUGAUCAUUCUAUGGAGGUUGAAUCUUCUUCACAACAAGAGCAUGACACUCCUUAUUUAUUGGUGGACAAGUAUGAGAAGCAAAUAAUGCUUGAAGGAGAUGAUGUGGCCAAUGAUUUGGAUGUGUACUUGAAUGAGAAAGAAAGAAAGGUGCCUAAUGUGAAGAACUUUGAUUUGUUGACUUGGUGGAAGGUCAAUGAACCUAGGUUGCCUAUUCUUGCCAAGCUUGCCCGAGAUGUGUUGUCGGUACCCGUUUCUACGGUUGCAUCCGAGUCCGCUUUUAGCACCGGGGGAAGGGUGCUCGAUCCUUUUAGAAGUUCUUUGAAUCCUACUAUGGUGGAGAGCCUCAUUUGUGCCCAAGAUUGAUUGAGGAAGGGAAAGGAUCCUAUUACAGUUGAAGAAGAUUUGGCGUCCAUUCGAAAGCACGAAGAAGGUUAGUUAUAUAUCAAAUGAAUAAUUUCUUUAUAUUUUAUUUAUUAUGAUUAGCUUGUAACUUAUUUCAUUUUAUUUUGUAGCUUUGAAGAUCCUUGGAGUUGGAGUUGUCAUAAACAAAGAAUCAAAUCAAGCCGGUGUAGACUAGAGUGAAGAUUUGGAAAAAUGUUGGAAGUUUGAAUGUUGGAACUUGGAUUUCAUUUUAUUUUAUUUUGUGACUUUAUAUGUUGGAUUUUGAAUGUUGGAAGUUUGGAAUUUGGAUUUGGAAUGUUGGAUUUGGAUUUUUAAUUUUAAAUCAUUUUUUUAUGUAUAAAUAUUUGUAUAAAUGUUUGGAAUUAGGUGGAAAAUGAAAAAACUGCACAGGUUUCGGCCGGUUCGGUCGGUCGGCCGAAAACCGACAAUUGGCCGGUUCGGUUUUCGGCCGGUUUGAAUAUGGUGGGUCGGUCGGUCGGCCAAUUUUUUUCUGGACCGGUCGGUCGGUCGGCCGGCUAAAAACCGGUCGGUCGGUGGGCCGAACCGACCGAUGCUCACCCUAUGCUAAACUUUAAUUAUCAUGUGUGUUGGACUUUGAUGAUUUAUUUUGGGCCUUGACUUUUUUUAAUUAAACUUUACUGGUUAAUAAACAAAGCUCAUGAGUUAUUUUAUGUGAAAACUCAAUCCAUAUUUUUAGAAAUCGACAUAUUUUUUUUUAAGGAUUUAUUUACUUUUGCCAUUAAAAAAAUGAAUUUUUGGAAAGAUGGAAUCCAAGUUUACUCAGACUUCAAUUCUGCAUCUGUUCAACCGACGCCAUACUCCAGCUAUGCAUCUGUUCAACCCACCCCAUAGCCCAUACUCCAGCUAUGCAUAUGUUCAAUCAACCCCAUACGUAAUACUCUUCACACCUACCUUCUACUAUUCACUUCUUCUUCUUUAAAAAGAAGUAUCACACUCAACACAAAAAUUUUACCCAGCUCAAGAAAUUUCAAACGGUAUGCUUCUCCCCUCAUCAAAUCAUUUUUCUGCAAUUCAUUUCAGACUCCUUAAUCAGCCAAACUUUGCAUUCUCUUUGCAGAAAUCAACCAACAGAAUUUGUAGAAAGGUUCUACUUUAAACUUCUUUAACUUCAGCUCUUACUUCAAUAUUUCAGCAUGAUUUAAACACUCAACUAGACUUUACAAACCAACAAAUGCAUAAGGAACAGCGGCGCUCCUCGUCGUUGAAGAAGAGGGAGAGGGUCGGAUCGAGUUGUGAGUCUGUAGGAGAGAGAGAGAGAGAGUCUAGGGCGGCGGCGUGAAGCCGCUGGUGUUUGUCUGGCAGAGUCGAGAGGUCGAGGGAGGCGGCGGCAACUCCGCCGCUGCCAGGGGAGGAGACGGCGCAGGGUGCGUCUGUGUGUGAGCGUGCUCUGUUUCCAGAGAGAAGAGGGUGACCGGCGGCGGCCGAUUUUGCUCCGUGUGAGUCGGUGUGUGUGUUAGUGAGAUCUGCAGCUCGUGUGUGUGUGUUUCAAUUGUUGUGUGUGCGUGUUUCAGUUUGAAGGAAGAGAGGGAAUGAGUCAACGCAAAGUUAAAAGUGAGAGGAAGGAAAUUUGCGCUAAUCAGAUUGGGCCUUGCUCUAUUUGGGGUUGGGCUGUUGUGAGUCUUGUAGGCUUUGAUGACCAGGAGUUAUGAGUAAAACUAUAGAUUUUGCUUAAUUAGGUAGGCUUAUUUUUCAAAUGUAUGAUUGAGUUAUUAAGUUCUAAAUGUUUCAAUGACAUGUAAACUGUUUAUCCAAUAAAAUAUUUUGUGCAUUCUGCUCCGUUUAAGGCUCGCAAUUCAUGGAUCGAUCGAGGUUUUUUUAUAACCUAACACUUUGUUUGAGAAUUGUGUACACUUCUUAGUUGUUUCGGUGGGUUGAUCUCCAUCGGACACUAAUUUAUAUAAGAGGCGUUAUAAGAGUGUUUGACGGGAUGUGUUUCGGAGCAUUGUGUCCCAAAUGGGAACUUGGCUGGGUUAGACCUUCAGUUCAAGUAAGUAGGAGUAAUGGAUCCGUCGGCGGCUAAAAGGUCCGGGAUCACAGCGAGUAACUGAUAGGAAGUGUGACAUGUGUGUGCAAAUGAAAUAAAUGUUUUAACAUGCUUAGAAGUUCUUUAUUUUAAAACCUUUUAAGUUAUGUCAAGUAUGAUUGGAUAAACUAUCUUUACGAAAAUAUGAAAUGUUUCAGAAAAUGCAUGUCCACUGAGUACAUUAGUAUUUAACCCAAAUAUUUUCAACUGUACUUUUCAGGUUGAUUGGCUAGUGCGCUGACGGGACUGAGUUGAGGCUAGGGUUCAUGUUAGAUUCUCAACUAAAAACUUGUGAUCCGAAGGGGCGUAGUCUGACUUGUUAUCCUAUUAUUUGAUUUCAACAAGGUUUUCCCAUGUUUAUUUUUAUGAAUUAGUCGCACCUCGAUUAUGUUUAUUCAUUCAAGAUUUGGGGUGUGACAAAAUUUGAUAAAUCUUUCUCUUAUUUUUGUCUCUUAUUUUUUAAUAAUAGAAUUUUCAAAACCACCUUGCUGCUAUCAUUUAUGUUGAACUAUAUAUAACUUGUAUCUAAUCAAUACUCAAUGCGCACCAAAUUAUUCACGAAAUUCGUAUCACGUCCAUGCAGAUGAGAUUUGAAUGCCACCAUCAUCAUGAUGCUCCAAGUUACGGAGUUGAUCAAGAUCUCAACGAUGAUGAUGUCGCCCAUCAUCAUUAUCAUGAUAAAGUCAACCAUGAGAUUCAACCAUUUCAUAUUAUUGGAAGAGGAGUGCCGAAAAGCAACGACUCCACUCCAAGGAAACUCAGGUGGUUGCGCUCUCAAAUCAUCGGCGGCUCAGCUGAAUUCGAUACUCCUUUUGGGCGGCGCCACCUCACUUACGCCGAUCACACCGCUUCCGGUCGCUCCCUCCACUACAUCGAGAACUAUAUUACAACCAAAUUACUUCCCUUUUACGGUAAGUAUGUCGCAAAAUAUAUCAUUCAAGUAAUCAUUGACUCACGCAUUUGAAAUUUACUAGUAUACCAAAUUUCGUGUAUGACUUUAUGUUUUAUUUUCAAUUUUUUUUUAUGCUUUUUCAUCUGUCUUUCUUCAUCUAUUUUAAUUCCAUAUGCUUUAAUUUAAUUUUAUAAUCAUUAACUAAAGUUUAUUCACUAUAUAAUUAUUUUUUAUCAUUUAAUUUUAUUUUUAUUAGUUAAUAAUAUAUUAUUAGAGUUAAUAAAUCUAAAUUUCUUUAUUUAAUAUUCAAAGAAAUAAAAACACGCUCGAACGCAUAGCCCUCUGGUGCCUCGAACCCAAGGUUGCAGGAAAAUUGUUUUAACAAACUGUCCUUUGUCGUAAUGGUUAGAGGAAAUUCAUUUUACUAACAAAUUGUCCAUCAUCAAUGUUUAUUUUGUAAAGGAAGAUCAAUAAUAUUUUUUCUUGACUAGGCAACACGCACACGAGCGAUAGCCACGUGGGAUACCAUACGACGACAAUGGUGCACGAGGCGACGAACUACGUGAAGAGAUGCUUAGGCGGCGGCAAAGAAGACUCCAUAAUGUUCUGCGGGUCGGGCUCGACGGCGGCUAUCAAGCGCCUCCAAGAAGUGAUGGGAAUCACCGUUCCCUCAAUUCUAAGGGAGAGGGUUCUAAAAUGCAUAAGCAAGGAAGUGAGAUGGGUGGUUUUGGUAGGCCCCUAUGAGCACCAUUCCAACCUCCUCUCAUGGCGGCAGAGCCUGGCCGAAGUGGUGGAGAUCGGCCUCGACCACCGUGGACACAUCGACAUGGAGGCUCUACGGAAAAAACUUAGUUUCUACAGGAAUGAAAAACGAAAAAUUCUUGGCUCUUUCUCUGCUUGUAGCAACGUCACCGGAAUUAUCACUGACACCCGCGCCGUCGCCCGCCUCCUUCACCAAUACGGAGCGUUUGCAUGUUUCGACUUUGCUGCAUGGUCAUUAAUUCUUCCAUUUCUUCCGAAUCAAUCACUUUGUUUUCUUUUUAGGAUUAAUUUAUAUUUUGUUUCUCUAACUUUCAAAUAUUUUUCAAAAAUAUAUAUACAACUAAUAUCUUUAAUUUCUUAAAAAUCCUAAACUUUUGAAAAAGUUUAAUUUAUGUUUCUCAUUACAAAAGUCGACGACCAAUAUAUGUUUGUAUGUUAUGAUUUUGCAUGCAGUGGACCGUACACGAAGAUGGAGAUGAGAUCGUGCAAAACAGAUGGAUACGAUGCAAUAUUUUUGAGCCCACAUAAGUUUGUGGGAGGUCCAGGUACACCGGGGAUACUACUGAUGAGCAACAUCCUUUACCAGCUUGGUUCAUCAGCUCCAUCAACUUGUGGAGGUGGAACUGUUGAUUAUGUUAAUGAUUUAGAUGAAAAGGCAAGUGUUGUUGUUAUCUUCUCCAUAAAUUAUAGUAUUGAAUAUAAUUAUGAUCAAAUAUUGUGAUGUCAAUGUCGUACAUAUAUAUGUAUGGUCUACAUAGGGAUAGGGGGUAGGAGGAGAUCAGGUUGGCGUAAGGAGUUAAGAGUUUGGAUAGUUAUAGGUGCGUUGUAUUUAGUAUCCAUUAUUACCUACAUGGCUACAUAAGCAUUUGGGUAGUUAGGUAAGCAUGCAUAUAUUUAGUUAAUAAGUCAAGUUUGGAUAGAUUGGUCUGACUAGUAUUUACUUUUUAUAAUUGAUAUUCCCUCCGUCCAUGAAAAAAAGUUUCAUUUGGGGUUCGGCUCGGGUUUUAAAAAAGUUGUUAAAGUAUGUAUAAGUGAUAUAAAGGUAUAAUUUGUAGGGGUAUUAUUAGUAUAAAAAAAUAGAAUAAAAGUAUAUUUUUAGUUAAAAAGUGAAAUAAAAGUACAAUUUAUAUAUAUAUAUAUAUGAUGCAUUGUUAUAUUAAAGGGCCAUUCGGUUUGAAGGAUUAGAUAGGACUAGAUUAGAUUAAUCUUAUCAUAUCUUGUUCGGUUAGAUGGAUACUGCCCGUGAUUCAAUCUUGGGAGAAUGCCACAUAGGAUUAGUCUUGGUGUAUGAGUCUUGGCUUACCCCUUAUGACAAAAUUAGUUUUGGGCCAACUUAAUCUUAGGUAAUAUCGGACUAAUUUAAUCUCGACAAUCGAAAUGCAUAGAUAAUAGAAGAGGGAUGGAUUCUACCUCAUCCCAUCUUAGUAGUACUAUAUACAAAUUUUAUGUACAUAGUACUUUAGUAGGCUAUUAGUUUAAUUAUCCUGAAAUGAUUGCAGGACACCAUAUAUUUAGAUGAUAUAGAAGAAAGAGAAGACGCAGGAACUCCACAAAACAUCCAGAAAGUAAGAGCCGGCUUAGCUUUUUGGAUCAAAGAAUACAUAGGUUACAAUGCCAUUGACAAACUAGAGAAGAGCUACAUACAAAGAGCUCUGCAACGAUUCACUCCCAAUCCCAAUAUUUUGAUAUUAGGUAACGGCGAUGUGAAGAGACAAUCCAUCUUGUCUUUCCUCAUAUACUCGUCUUCACGAAACAACACUAGAGGAAAGCCGCUCAAUGGCUCCUUCGUUGCCAAACUUCUCAACGACCUCUUCGGCAUUCAGGCCCGUGGGGGCUGCGCUUGUGCCGCCCCUUACGGCCACCGCCUACUUAAUCUCAACGACCACCACUCGCUUGCCUUGAGAUCCUUCAUCAAACAGGUCAGAGAACAUAUAUAUAUAUUCCUAUUAUUAGGGUUAAGUAAUUAAUUAUACUUUCUUUUCGAUCUUUUAAACUUUUUCAAAUUAGAUUUAUUCUUAAAUUAUAGCUCGAAUUUUUUGACUCCAUACGUAUUAACUUCUUAGCUUGAAUUUAAAAAUGUUAUAUAUGUAGCUUGUAUUUAUUCACGUUGUUCAUAUAAUAGCCCGCAUCGAAUUUUUCGAUCAUCUAAAGCUGACAAGGAUAAGAGCUUAUCAAAACUUCGAGCCAAAAACUGUGAAAUUUUGGAAAUUCUAGUCUAUUUCCGACCACAAACUAUAUGGUCCACGUUUGCUUUAGUUGUCAAAAAAAUAAAAUAAAAAUUGAUGCGCUAUUAAAUUAACAAUGUAUAUAAUUUAAGAGUUUGUAAUUUUAUUUUAUUUAUUUGAACUAAAAAGUCACUGCAAGGUAAAUGUUCAGACUAUAAUUUAAUAGUAGCCCUCCAAAAUAUCUAGACCCUUGAAUUUUUAUUUGUUUCAAUUCUAGUUUUGAAGAUGGUGCAAUGGAAAUGUGUUUGUUUAGAGAGCAAUGUUUACUGACGAAGUCGUCGUUUGAGCUUCGCGCAAAUAAAAUAUCCUAUGCCCACAACUAGACUAGCUAGUGGUAAGUCCAGAGUCGAAUCCACAGGGAACUGAGCAAUAACUCCUCCUGUAAGGGUGUCACUAAAAAUGGUUUGUAUUUUGAAGGGUUCUGACCACAGCGUGCUUAUGGGCAGAACAGGGUUUCCAACCUAAACUGAAAUACAAAGGUAGAUAAAUCAAAUAACAAAACAAUCCUGACUUGGGUUCGAAUCACUAAACAUGAACUAGGCACUCGAUCAUUGGUGCAAAGAUAAAUUACUAUACUCGCAUACCAGUGGUUAUAGGCAUAAGAAUUGUUGUGCCCAUAUUGUCACUCGUCACGCACGCAAAAACCCCUUGCCCAAUCUAUCCUUUCAGUUUAUGAUUCCUUUGAAGGGUCAGCUAAUGGAAAUCAACUACCCCGGGCAACAUCCACGCUCUCUGCGAUGGCCUAUCGCUAGUUGUGCUUUGCCCAGAAUGCUUUAAGAACUAGAUAGACCCACUUGACUCUUACGCCGAUAUUUCACAGCAGUCACGGCUCCAACACUCGUUGUACUAUUUUGGAGGUCGAUGGCGUUUUGCCUUAUGCCCAAAUUAUUACUUGUGACCAAAACUCCCUAGUUAACUAGUGAUCAAUUAAUUAACCAAGUUGUUACAGCCUUUUAGGAAUCAAACCUAGUGUAUCGGGAAUAUGCUCAUACAGUUGUUAUGCCCAAAUUAGACCUCUCGAGUUAAGUGUUCAUGCUUAGAUCAUCUUGCCCAAAUCAGAAUAUAAACUUAGCCGAGCAUAAAGUAAAUAACACAAGCAAAAGAUAUAAAGGAAAACAUAACUGAAAUUGAAAGUGCUUAAACGGAAAUAUAAGUACCUACGGCCAAAAGUGCCGUGCAAAACAUAUAACGAAAAGUACUGGAUUAUGCCCACAGCCCGGGCUAGCUUCAACUUCACAAAUACUGCACAACAGGAUGGUUUUUCAGCACCCUUGGCUUUAGAAGCUCUUCGGGUAUUUAUAGGAGUGAUUAGGGCAACCUAAGGCCCAGCCCAUGAUGUUGCGGCCGGAUCCAUGCAAGCAUGGAGAUGCUUAUCCCUUUUCAGACCUAAUCUUCAUGAAGAUAUGUUUCCUUUUGGAUAAGGCGGUGGUUUGGCCUCAUCGGUCUCUUUUGGAUAGCUGCCGCCUUCGGCCCAUAUCGAACUCCCACUUGCAGUCCUCUCUCGCCCGCCUGUUGUGCCUCCGUCUUCCUUCUCUUGCCUGCCAGCUCUCGUGCGGUACUUAUGGGCAUAAGGGAUGGUUUUGCCUCCAAAUCCCCUUUGCUUCCGGCGCAUACCUCUUUCACGAAAGGUGACAGCACUUUCGACCCCUGGAGCACCUCUUGCCCACAAGCUGGUCCUGCCACUGAACUACGCCCUCCCAGGCGACCAAACAACACAAACAAAAGGAAAAAGACUCGAUCUAGACCUAAAACAAACACAAAAAUAUAGCACAAACCUGGGCUCAUCACACGCACACACUUUAAACACGAUUGUCCUCAAGCGUGCAUGCAUGAUUUUGUCCAAGCACAGACACGGACGAAACAGACACACAAAACAGAGGUAAAACGAAAACAAACAGCAUGCUAUACUUUCUCAGUCCAACAGCAAAAUGAAGAUUAAGAGAAGCAACCAGUAGUAUGUUCAAACAAACAAAAAAUGCCAUUAGUUGAGUCAAGAUCAGAUUAUGGGCAUAAGGAUGUUCAUCCCCUUUCACUCUUUCUCUCAAGUGUUUGGGCUCGUGUUUACACUCCGGACAUCUUGAUUGGGUUCUGACCAUAAGCUUGCCUAUCUUCUAUUGUCUUCCCCUUUAGUCAAAGCCCUAGGUGCAUCUCAUUAUGUCUUUCAUUGGUUGUAAUGUGGCUUAAGGCAUAAGGUGGGAAUUUUUGGUACGAGGCUAAGGUCAUUCUGAACUUCGUUCUGGGCAUAUGACUUCCCAGAUUUUUAAAACCCUUGCCUAUUCUUGCGGGCCUAAGCACAUUCUUCCCUUUAUUCUUCCUCUUCUUUUUUUUUCUCUUUUCUUUCUUUUUAUUUAUGGACUUUUUCUAUGGUGGGAUAAAAUUUCCCAUUUUUGCAUUUUUUGUAUUAGUCCUGCCCCAUAAGGUCCACUACACUAUCUUCCCUUCUUUUGCCCUUAAGUUCAGUUUGACCGGGACGGUUCAAUUCUGGGCAAAUUUAUAAGUGAAUUCAAACGAAUUAUUAAGCUCAAAAAGGGUUCACAAGUGAUAGAUGUAGGGUCGGUCGAUUUGGCUCUGUGGGCUAAAGAAAGAAUUUGCCUAAAUCAUUUAACACACCUAGACUAUGUACACAGGGUUCGACUAAGAAUCAAGGCAAGUUCUAGCAUGUCGCAGCCCGAGUCUAGCCAGUGAUAGCGUAGACCGAGUAUCAAUACGACUAAAUAAAAUAAUGAAGUAAAGAAGCAAAAAUAGUCUACCCAAAAACCGGAGCCUCUCCUUAACUAUAUAUGUGAAUAACAGUUGUCAUCUCUCAAAAACAUAGAUAUUAUUGUUUAUGGUUUGAGAAGUGAGGGAUUCUCGACAACGUUGGAAACUUUCUGGUUGGGUUUUCUCACAGUUCGUUUUCCAUCUCGCGGUGAGACUUGAGCGGGCUAUAGUCUGAAGACAUAACUGGAGUUGUUCGAUACGUUCAUCAAUCAUCUUUGCAUCCGAUUCACCGUUAUGUAAUCUUAAUACUGUGUGAGGUGUAAUUCGUCGACAUGUUAGAUUCCUCGUUGUAUGAGACUUAUCUUCCUCCUCGUCGCUUAUCGUGCACAUUUAGCGUUAAUUCAAUUUAAUAUUCCUCAUGUACAUAUGCCGAAAAACAAAAGAAAGCUUGCUCUUAGAGCUAUAAAUUGAACUUGCCACAUUAAGCAACGCACAAGGGUUUUAGUUAGAGAAGAACAUGUGCAUGCAAUUUCGCAAAUCAUAACAUCAUAAUAAAGUAACUGCGCAGUUUAAACAUUCAUUAUGUAUGUACCACAUCCACUACUCAUCAUUAAAGGUACUGAGAAGUAGGCCUCCCUCUCAAGUACCGUGACCGGCCGACCCGAUAGACGGCUCACAGUCACCUCUGUGCACAAAAUCCCGCUUGUGGCAGGACCGAAUUCGUCUCAACAGUAGAGGGUAACACACAAGUCAUUAUUAACAAAACUCGGCAAGUCAAUUAGUUUCAAGCAUAACAUUAACUCAAUUCAUAAUCAUAAAUAUCAUAUCAUUUAAGAAAGCUCGUAUAAUAGGUAUAUCAAAAUAAUGCCCACCUGACAAACUUAGCUUACUCUCGUAGUACUUGGACGAUCUUACCUCCGUCCUCUGCUCGUAUCUUCAGAUGUCACAAUGUCGGAGUGGUUCAUGAGAUAAGAUAAACCUCAGUUAGAAACUCAUUUACUAAAAUCCAAUCUCGUCUCAAACUUUAACUUAUCACUCAUCUUCUAUUUACCCAAAUAAAUCUCAAUCCCUAGGUAUACUUAACUCCUAAGGAUUCACAAGUCCUACUCUCGACUUAACACUCAACUCGAAUUAAACCCAUAGCAAUCAAGCACAUAAACAAGCAUAAUCACAUAAACAUAUAAAUUCACACAUAGACAUGUCACAAACAAACAUCAUUCUGCACUGACUCGAUUUAAAGACUUCACCAGAUUCGGUACAGAGCUCCACUGGAGUCAUGACCUAUACCAUUUAAAACCUCUUUGAGUCUAGUUUCAUUCAAAAAAAGUAGGAUGAAAAACUCCAAGUAGUUUAGGAGAUAUGACUGUUUUCCUACAGUCUACCAUAUUCGGCAGUUUUGAGCAAUUGAAAACUUUGAUUUUUGAAAAAUAGUAAACGUUGCCGAAAAGGCUUGAAAUUUGGUGGGUACUUAUAUAAGACACUCAUGUCUUAAAAAUAAAAAUUUAGGCUCCAAAAAGUUAGGGAAGGACACUGGAAGAGGUGACUCUAUUGGAUACUCACCGAACAUUUCGGCAGAAGGUAGCAGUUUUAGUUUUCUAUUUUAUAAAAAUAGUAAACAAAGUCCAAUUGACUUGAAAUUUUACCGGUAUGCUCCUGACUCUUAUUUAAUCUUACCAUAAAAUUUUCAAGGUCUUUGGGUAACAAGAACCCAACGAAACAGUAGGUAUAAAAGGUCAUAAAAUGACUCCAAACUUGAACAUACAAGCAAUUAUACCUAGACUUUGGAUUUCUUCGAUGCAAAAUUCUCAAAAAUUCAAAUUAAGCUCACAUAAUACACAAUAACAUAAAUACAUAAUCAUAUAACUCAAGAAAAUUCAAACAUCGACUUCCCCUUUUUCUCCCUACAUUCGGCCAACACAUAGGUCAUUAGGGGUUGGUCCGUUUCGUCUCAUAUUGCAUAUAUAAGCUCAAAUAAUCAUCAAAAAGCCACAUAUAGACAUGCUUGGCUCAUAACUCAUCUUAUAUACAUGAUCUCAUGUAUGCACGCAAACUAAACUCGGAAAAUUUUCACAAAUCAACAUCAUUAACCAAUUUAAUCAUGCUUUCUCCUUGCUAGUAGUCUAACUAUCAUAUAAACAUCAUCAAUUCAAGUAUUUAUUUCAUUACUCAAAAGUUCCCAAUUACUAGCAAACUAAACUUAACCAAUUUUAGGCAUUCUUGACAAUUAACCAAAUUGAUCCCUAAUUAUCAUUUCUAUCAUGCUUAAUAACAAUUAAACUUAGCCAAUUUAAUCAAUUAACACAUAGAUCACAAAGUCCCAAUUUUUAACAAACUAAACUUUUUGAAAAUUUGUAAACAUGCAUAAAUCAUUAAUCCAACCUUAGAUCUAUCAAAUUGACACACUUAAUAGCAUAAAUAAACAAUCAAUUAGUAAAUUAAACCAUAGAAUCAAUUUUACCCAAAUUACAUCAAACUAACUCAUAUCAAAAAUUACUAAUCAAUUUCAACCAUCAAUCCAAUCCAUCAAAUCUCAUAUAAACACUCUCAAUAUCAUAUAUCAUCCAUCAAUUCAUCAAUCAAGCCUCAAAUACAAAACUUCCCAAAUUUACACAAACUAAACUAUUUCAAAUCUCAUAUCUCUUUUUAAUUCAAUUAUCUACACAUGGAAAUAGACUAAUUAGGCACCCAAUAGUAUUUAAAUAACAUCAAUUUAAGAAAAGGAAAAGAAAAAAUUUUUUUGAAGGGUAAAAGACCCAAAUUUUCGAAAAUCACAAAGAAGGGAUAGGGGUGUUUUCUUGCUUGAUCUAUCCAUAUAUACACAUAUACAACACAUUUAAGUCUAGAUCUAAAAGGAUUCAUCACUUACUCAAGGAUUUGAACAAAAAUAAAAAUCUCCUCUUUUGCUUCAAAUCUUGAAAACUCCUCCAAAAUUUGCUCUUGAUUCAAGGCUAUAGAUGUUUAAAGCUUGAAUUUGAUGGAGAUCUAUGGUGUAGAGAUGAUCUUAGAAGCUUGGAAAGAUCAUCAAUGGUGGUAGAGAGAGAAAAGAAAGUGAGAAGGAAGAGAGAAAUGAGAGGGAUCGAAAAUGAGGGGGAGGGAAGAGAGAGAGAUGUUUUGUUUAAAGCUUAAACUUGCUCACUAAGCUACUAAUUUAGCUUCUCCAACACUUCACACAUGCAACUUGCCCACUAAGUCAUCCAAUUAAUUAAUGCAAAAUUAAACUCUCACAUGUGGCUUGCUAAAUACUACACUAAUUAAUGAGAUCAAGCUUGUAGGAAAAGCUAAGUUAGGGAAAAUCACUUACUAAUUAAAAACCAUAAAUCAAUAUCAUCUAAUAGUGUGAUCCAAUAAUUAAUCAUAAUUAGAAUACACCUAAUUCACAUCACAUCUAGCUCAUUAAAAUAAAUUCCAAUAAAUUCCAAUAGGAGAAAUUUAUAAUAUAAAAGUGAGAUUACAAUUCACCAUUUUUUUUUAAAAAAAAAUUAUCUCUAUGUUACAACAUCCAAGAAAAAUUAUAAAUCAAACAAUCUCAAAUAUGUCAUCACGUAGGUCACAUAAAAAAAAUAUCAAUUUUUCUCACUCAAACAUGACCUCUCAAUCAGUCAAAAUCUAACAAAAAUUUAACUGUCUCAUGAAUUCGACUCAUCUCUAUAGUAAGUCUCACUCACUCACCUCGGCUCUAUAUCUAGCCAGGUAUCCUCUUAACUUAACAUUGUAAAUCGUCUCAAUAAUAAUUAAGCUUUCUUUAUCGGAAGCAUAAACUACAUCAUCUCCUCAAUUUAAUCAGCAUUUCUAUCAAAAACUCAUUCUAUAAAAAAAAAUUCACCCACUAGUUCUAUCAUCAACUUCUAAAAUACUCACAUCUCAAUCUUAAAAAAAAUUUCUCAUCCUUAAUAAGCUAAUGCUAGAAUCUCGACACUCUAAUAGCGAAUCCUCAAAAUAAAUAGUAUGGAAAACUGCGGGGUGUUACAUCCUACCCCCCUUAAAAAAAAUUUCGUCCCGAAAUUUGUGUUACUC
rnacentral:lncRNA from 1 species